rnacentral:lncRNA from 1 species
UUGGGUACACACACGUAUAUAUUUCCUGUGUUUUAUUAUGUUUGAGACAACUUUAAAAGCUUUCUGGCUGGGGAGAGAUUGCUCCUUCUGGGGCUAGCCAACUUUCAGAGAUAACAAGGGUUCAGUCAGGAAAAUGCUUUUGAUAUGCAAACUAAUCAAUCCAGAGUCAGCUCUCCCCUAUCUGGCCCAUAUACCCCAGGAGACAAUAUUCCUCUGCCUUGGUCAUCCCAGGGCUACGUGUCACCCCUAUAGUUUAGAGCCUGCUGAAGUUAUUCAAACUAGCCAACCCUAAACUGUUUUCAUCCUGCCCUGCCUUGCCUUUCCCAAGGAAACCCCAAUAAAAGCUCUGGCCUAAAUGUUCCCCUUGUUCCUGUUUUCUGCCUCCUGACCACCCUGGUGUCUUUCCCAUGUGGCCCUAUGUGGUGUGCUGUGCCUUUAUAUGUAGGACUCGUAAGUACAAUAAAUGUUGUUUUCCUGAGCCUCUCCUGUGUCUUCUCCCAAGGCUACUCCUGACUGACCAUCACAUAAAAGAAUACAAAACAAUCUGAAAGUCAACCAAGGAAAUAGUAAUCAAGAAUAAUUCUGAAUAGACGUAAUUUCUACUUUAUGCAUGACUGUAAACCUUAACUUCACUGAACUAGACCAGGGAAUUGGCUUUCGCAUUGCUUGUUGGGCUUUUAAACCAGUGAAUGGAAAGAAUAAAAAGUUUUCUCCACACAACUUCUCGGAAGAGAUCUGCCCUGUGAUCUGCAAUGUCCUGACGUUCAAACUUCUAAGUCAUCUGUGGAGACCGCUCAACUGAUUCCAAGUGGAAGUACUAAGACUGUCAUUUCAGGUAUGACAGCUCCUCUCCCAACAGCUCUACUUUCUACAUCUACUCUCUACCACCACAAAACUUCUUUCAGUUCCAUGAAAGGGCCAUGUUUUUCUGGUCUCUUGGCCUAGGAGCAUGUUGUUCUUCUGCCAGCAACCUUCUUCAACCAUCUCCACAGGAUGACUCCUCUAUUGGAUACUUCCAUGAAAAGUCCAGGCCUGGGUUAUGUACCCUUCCCAAAGUGCACCCCAGACACCCAACAGUUUUUCCAGCCCAGACUCACCACACUGUGUGGUAAUUUCCUGAUCACUCAGUUGUGCUCCCCACAGACUAUAAGCUCUAUGAGGGCAGGGGCCACAGUUUGCUUGUUCACUACUAUAUGCUCAGUACCUGGUAAAUAUUAGUUGACUGAAGAAUGACUAUGUGGUAAUCUAUUCCAUUGGUGGCCUCCAGUGAACCAUGUCUUCUGGUAUUUACAUCUUGUGUGGUCCCCUCCAUUAAAUUUGGGCUUUAACCAACAGAAUGCUGCAGAAGCGACACCCUGCCACUUGUGCUUUUGUGAUCCUAGCCACCAGUAAGAAGCCCUGUGACCUUGCUGAGACCCUGAAGAGACCACAUAGAGAGGCCACUUGAAGGGCAAGGGGUCCUGACUCUACAUGGAGAGAGAAGCCCAGCCAUCCCUGUUUCCCAGCUGAGUCCUGACCAGAUAACUCACUACAAGACUGACCACAGGCAAGAACAGCAGAAGAGCUGCCCAGCUGAGCCCAUCCAAGAGUGCAGAAUUUCAAGCAAGUAAAAUGACUAAUGUUGUAAGCCACUAAAAUUCUAGGGUGGUUCUUACAUAGCAAUAUGUAACUGUGAUAAACUAAAUAAAUGAAUAAAAGGGAAUGAAGAAUUACUUCACAGAAUAAGUUUCAUGCAAAGACAUCUCAAUGUCUCUAAGAAACACUUCUAAGGAAGAGCAGAGUCAAGAAAAUAGCAACAGAACUAACAGGAAAUAGAGGAACUCAUACCACCAGCUUCCAUUUACAUUACAUCACAUUUUUCCUCUGUCAGUUUCUUUGGUUUUAAGAUAUUCUCCAAUGAAAAGAUAUUCCUACUCUUUUGUGAAAAAGAGAUUCUAGGUUUGACAUUAAAGUUAAGAAGUCCAACCAAGGAGGGGAUGUGAACACUAACACACAAAUGGAAACUGCUUAGAAUCCCAUGGCCAACCUAUCCCUGCUGUUCUAUUUCCUCUUACUUGCCAGCAGAGCAGAUCUACAGCUGUGGAUGAGGGCAUAGAGGCUGCUGUGCUCAGGGGAAACUGGAAUACUAUGGAGACUCCUGGCUUAACUGGGCACCAAAUGUUCAGUUCAGUGUGAAAAAUACCAUCCAAAGAUCAGAAUGGUUAAUUUUUAUACAGACAGUUAAUGACUUGUCAGUGAACUAGUAAAAACAAAAUAGACAGCUACUCAGUGCCUUUAACCCAGGCAUCCAAUCAGUUACACUAUACACAUAUGCACAUACACCCCCUAGAGACAGCUGAUACACACUGUUACAUAAUCCAGAAUAUUUUCUGGCUAGACUAUAUUUUGAAUCCUAAAUAUUAGCUAGCAACAUUAGCAUGCACAUCUCAGAAUGAGAAGACAGACUGCUACAUUUAUACUGGCUUGAUGGAAUCUUGGAUUGCUACUUCUAAUAAUUGCUUUUCUUCCUGAAAGAAAAAAAUCAUUAUGUAAGAACUAUGGCCUAAGCGAAGUAUCUGUCUUUUGUAAAAAACCAUAAAACAAAAUGCCAAGAAUAUUUUCUAACGUAUUAUACUGGACUAAUGCUUUGAAAUUUCUGAAUGAUGUUUAGUAGGUAAAAUUAUCAAUGUAUGUCUAGAAUAGCAUGCCUCUUAAACCUACCUCCAAUUAAUAAAUUUUAUGUGAUAGAUAUUUAAAGUAAAGAAGUGAAUUCAGGAACAAGCCAGCGGCUUGAAUGCUGCAUGCUUGGGAAGGGAAAAAUCAGCUCCCAGGGUUUUCAAAGCUCCAGAACUAAGUGACAGAAAAGGGGCCUGCAGCAUUAAUGUCGAUGUCCUGUCCACUAGUGAAACUGAACAUGAACUCCUUUCAAACAUGGCUGAGAAUAAAAGCUAGACUUAAAAAAAUCAGAAG